CCUUUGUAAAUUUUCACUUAAGUUUGGUUCUUUGCAAUAUUUAGUUCCAAACGCAGGUUUUUGAAGAUUUGAGGUACCAAGAAUCUUUCCUCUUGCUCCACCAUCUGUAAUGCAGGAAAAGGGGGAAGAAUCGCUGUUCCUGUCGAGGUUGUCUCCCCUUUCCCUCCAAAACGAUUAAUAAUACUGUAAUAUCGGGACGGACUGACAUCUUUCACUAUGGGGACUUUUCUCGCGUAUACUGUAUUCGGGACUGACAUCUUUCAAGGGUUUAGCGUCUCUAUAGGAAUCAUAAUGAGGCUUCGGACAAUAUUUUCACUCGGUAAUCUGGGGAAUGCUAGCUCGCUCAUGUUCAGGUCUAUGUUAUACUUACUGCUGGCGUGUCCCUCAUCUCGGACACUUUCUCCUUUCGAGGCCCGGCGCUGGUGAAUAAAAUACAAUGAUGUUUCAA
rnacentral:lncRNA from 1 species